AUAAUGAACUCUUUGUCCUAAGGAAACUAGCCAAGAAGUGGAAGGAGACGAUGAGCAGCACCUAGCCCAAGAUGACCGUCAUGGUGAACUCAAUGGACAAGAGCUAUGUGGAGCAAGGUGCAAACUACGACUAGGUGUUCUCGUUCACGGACACGCACAAUCUGAACGGGAAAUACAAAACCCACCGAUGGCCACUGAGACCAGCAGCUUGGUGCAUUCCCACACUGAGAAGAAGCACGAGCCGGCUGACAUGCCCUACCAGACCGGGAAGCUUCACCCCACCAUCCAGGUGGCAGAUCUGCUUUAACACAUCACACAGAUAAAGUGUGCUGAGGGCUCUGGCUUAAAGAAGGAAUACGAAGUGAGCAUGAGCUUUGCACCAGGGCUCCUUCUCAACCUUCCUGGGCAUGAUGCCAGGUACUGUGCUCCCAACUCAUUCAGCCAGCCAGUGGGACCCCAUGAGGGCUGCCAAGAAGGGGCCAUGUAUUUCAUCCAUGGAUCCAUUUCCAUCUGGCUGUGAGACUUAUGACCCAGAAGCUAACAUAUGUUAAAUGGAAAAAGGAGGACCACUUCACCUUUUCCAUAUUCUGUAUGAAUUUGCAAUGAAAACAGAGGCCUACUAGGAUUACCUUUCUUGGCUUUUCCUAUAAUUAUGAUUUUAAAUCCUAAUAAUUUUGUGGUAAUUACCUCAGGAAGAAACUGUCCACUUACAACAAUUUUAGUCCAA